AUUCUACUCCCUCCGUUGCACAAUACUACAUGCCUUCUAUUUGUCAAAAUAUAUAUGUAUCUAGACAUGUCUUCGUAUAUAGGUACAUCCAUUUUUGGACAAAUGGAAGUCAAGUAUUUUGGAACGGAAGGAGUACACA
rnacentral:pre_miRNA from 1 species